rnacentral:rRNA from 1 species
ACGAACGCUGGCGGCGUGCCUAAUACAUGCAAGUAGAACGCUGAAGAGAGGAGCUUGCUCUUCUUGGAUGAGUUGCGAACGGGUGAGUAACGCGUAGGUAACCUGCCUUGUAGCGGGGGAUAACUAUUGGAAACGAUAGCUAAUACCGCAUAACAAUGGGUGACUCAUGUCAUUUAUUUGAAAGGGGCAAAUGCUCCACUACAAGAUGGACCUGCGUUGUAUUAGCUAGUAGGUGAGGUAACGGCUCACCUAGGCGACGAUACAUAGCCGACCUGAGAGGGUGAUCGGCCACACUGGGACUGAGACACGGCCCAGACUCCUACGGGAGGCAGCAGUAGGGAAUCUUCGGCAAUGGGGGCAACCCUGACCGAGCAACGCCGCGUGAGUGAAGAAGGUUUUCGGAUCGUAAAGCUCUGUUGUAAGUCAAGAACGAGUGUGAGAGUGGAAAGUUCACACUGUGACGGUAGCUUACCAGAAAGGGACGGCUAACUACGUGCCAGCAGCCGCGGUAAUACGUAGGUCCCGAGCGUUGUCCGGAUUUAUUGGGCGUAAAGCGAGCGCAGGCGGUUUGAUAAGUCUGAAGUUAAAGGCUGUGGCUCAACCAUAGUUCGCUUUGGAAACUGUCAAACUUGAGUGCAGAAGGGGAGAGUGGAAUUCCAUGUGUAGCGGUGAAAUGCGUAGAUAUAUGGAGGAACACCGGUGGCGAAAGCGGCUCUCUGGUCUGUAACUGACGCUGAGGCUCGAAAGCGUGGGGAGCGAACAGGAUUAGAUACCCUGGUAGUCCACGCCGUAAACGAUGAGUGCUAGGUGUUGGAUCCUUUCCGGGAUUCAGUGCCGCAGCUAACGCAUUAAGCACUCCGCCUGGGGAGUACGACCGCAAGGUUGAAACUCAAAGGAAUUGACGGGGGCCCGCACAAGCGGAGGAACAUGUGGUUUAAUUCGAUGAUAAGCGAGGAACCUUACCCGGGCUUGAACUGCAGUGGAAUUAUCCGGAAACGGAUAAGCGAGCAAUCGCCGCUGUGGAGGUGCUGCAUGGUUGUCGUCAGCUCGUGUCGUGAGAUGUUGGGUUAAGUCCCGCAACGAGCGCAACCCCUAUUGUUAGUUGCCAUCAUUCAGUUGGGCACUCUAGCGAGACUGCCGGUAAUAAACCGGAGGAAGGUGGGGAUGACGUCAAAUCAUCAUGCCCCUUAUGACCUGGGCUACACACGUGCUACAAUGGUUGGUACAACGAGUUGCGAGUCGGUGACGGCAAGCUAAUCUCUUAAAGCCAAUCUCAGUUCGGAUUGUAGGCUGCAACUCGCCUACAUGAAGUCGGAAUCGCUAGUAAUCGCGGAUCAGCACGCCGCGGUGAAUACGUUCCCGGGCCUUGUACACACCGCCCGUCACACCACGAGAGUUUGUAACACCCGAAGUCGGUGAGGUAACCUUUUGGAGCCAGCCGCCUAAGGUGGGAUAGAUGAUUGGGGUG